AAAUUGAAGAGUUUGAUCAUGGCUCAGAUUGAACGCUGGCGGCAGGCCUAACACAUGCAAGUCGAACGGUAACAGGAAGCAGCUUGCUGCUUCGCUGACGAGUGGCGGACGGGUGAGUAAUGUCUGGGAAACUG
rnacentral:rRNA from 7 species